CCCUAGAUACUUGGUAGAUGAGAAGGCUGGCAAAGUCGACAAAGUAUAUUGGAUAUACCUGAUAUUGAUGUAUACCUUACUAGUAUUCCUUGUAGCACCAGGGUAUUAGAUACCGGUUCAGUUGCUAAGUGUUAGUAACUCGAAAUUAUAGCUACGGAUUAAAUGGAUACUAGCAAGGGUGAGGUGACGAUGUGUGUUGGAAGUAAUUCUAAGGUUGAUGUGAUCAAACAUCGCACGC
rnacentral:lncRNA from 1 species